rnacentral:pre_miRNA from 1 species
AAUAGGAGAAUAACAAAUCAGAUUUUUCCUCCUGAUUUACAGCCUUCUCCUCCUGAAAAAAUUCAAAUCUAAUUAAAAAUGCUAAAAUUCAGGAGGAAAAUUUUGAUUUAUCAUUUUCCUAUU